UACAGAGGGGGCAAGCGUUAUUCGGAAUUAUUGGGCGUAAAGGGCGCGUAGGCGGCUUGGCAAGUGGAUGGUGAAAUCCCUCGGCUUAACCGAGGAACUGCCGUCCAAACUGCUUAGCUUGAGACCAGGAGAGGUGAGUGGAAUUCCCAGUGUAGCGGUGAAAUGCGUAGAUAUUGGGAGGAACACCAGUGGCGAAGGCGGCUCACUGGACUGGUACUGACGCUGAGGCGCGAAAGCUAGGGGAGCAAACAGG
rnacentral:rRNA from 1 species